UACGUAGGGGGCUAGCGUUGUCCGGAUUUAUUGGGCGUAAAGAGCGUGUAGGCGGCCAGGUAGGUCUGGUGUGAAAACUCGAGGCUUAACCUCGAGAUGUCAUCGGAAACCAUCUGGCUAGAGUCCGGUAGGGGAGUGUGGAAUUCCCGGUGUAGCGGUGGAAUGCGCAGAUAUCGGGAGGAACACCAGUGGCGAAGGCGGCACUCUGGGCCGGUACUGACGCUGAGACGCGAAAGCGUGGGGAGCGAACAGG
rnacentral:rRNA from 1 species